rfam:Danio rerio chromosome 18, GRCz11 reference primary assembly.
UUCAAAAGCAUUGCACCCAGAGUCUGGUCUGCAGACACUGAACCUGGAGCUUUGUUGUUUUUAUUAAAGCAUGUU